rnacentral:rRNA from 1 species
UGCGUAGGCGGCGCGGUAAGUCGGGUGUGAAAUCUCGGGGCUUAACUCCGAAACUGCAUUCGAUACUGCCGUGAUUGAGGACUGGAGGGGAGACUGGAAUUUACGGUGUAGCGGUGAAAUGCGUAGAUAUCGUAAGGAAGACCAGUGGCGAAGGCGGGUCUCUGGACAGUUCCUGACGCUGAGGCACGAAGGCCAGGGGAGCAAACGG